CGGCGUCUACUAGCAAACCCCUAUGGACGCAAGUGCAGCAAGAGAAAGAGUUAACGGAGGUGAUGUCUGGUAGAUUCAAGCAAGAUCCUCCCAGUUCAGCCAGCUCUGACAGUGGAGGAGAGGAUAGUGCUGUGUCACAGAUGAAAGAGGAUGAGGCAAAUAUGGACAUGGGUGAGAAUGAGGAAACUCAGCCUACCACCCCGCGACCACCAUCAACUGGACCACAAUCCAACA